CCUCUCGGGGGUAAGCGGGCAGAACUUGCAAGUAUUGUUAGGAAGAUUCAGACUUGGAGUUGAUGGCUGAGAGUGCUUGUUAAGUUGUUCGUUUGCGAAUUGGCUGACCUGUAUUCUUUGUUCUAUUAACGAUGCGUCGCAUUUCUUCUUAGCAUCGGGUUGCAUGCAACUGAAUAGUAGUUUUAGGUGCUAAGUAACUGCAAAUCCUUGUGGUUUGAGUCUUGGUUACCAACUANUGUUGCGGUUGUGUUAAGAACUUGAACAAGCUUUUAUAGCGGUCAAGUAUUUUUACGAGUAGGAUGUGUACUGUAUAUGGACAAGCAAUUGUAAUAUGCGGUGCAUGUUGAUUGUCGGUGAGAAUACUUUGGCUUUGUUCAUGUAUUGCAAUCUAAAGCAUGCGUGGUCUGCCUGU
rnacentral:rRNA from 1 species